CCUAAACCUCAGUAGUUAAACCAACAAAACUACUCGCCAGAAUACUACAAGCAACCGCUUGAAACUCAAAGGACUUGGCGGUGCUUCACCCCCUAGAGGAGCCUGUCCCAUAAUCGAUAAACCCUGAUCCACCCUACCCUCUUGCUCAGCCUAUAUACCGCCAUCUUCAGCAAACCCUGAUAAAGGUCACAAAGUGAGCGCAAGUACCCCUUUUCGCAAAA